rnacentral:rRNA from 1 species
AAUGAACGCUGGCGGCAGGCCUAACACAUGCAAGUCGAACGGAUCCUUCGGGAUUAGUGGCGGACGGGUGAGUAACGCGUGGGAACAUACCCUUUGGUACGGAAUAGCCUCGGGAAACUGGGAGUAAUACCGUAUGUGGUCGAGAGACGAAAGAUUUAUCGCCAAAGGAUUGGCCCGCGUUGGAUUAGGUAGUUGGUGGGGAAUGGCCUACCAAGCCGACGAUCCAUAGCUGGUUUGAGAGGAUGAGCCGCCACACUGGGACUGAGACACGGCCCAGACUCCUACGGGAGGCAGCAGUGGGGAAUCUUAGACAAUGGGGGAAACCCUGAUCUAGCCAUGCCGCGUGAUCGGUGAAGGCCUUAGGGUUGUAAAGAUCCUUCAGGUGGGAAGAUAAUGACUGUACCACCAGAAGAAGCCCCGGCUAACUCCGUGUCAGCAGCCGCCGUAA